UUAUUAAACAUUGUUUUUCACUUGGAUGUAAUAAUUUAUUAAUGUGAGAAAAUGUAUCUUUUGUCUGUUUAGGUGAACAAGCAGCCGGUGAGAAAGCAAGGAAAGAAAGGGAAAAGGCUUAUUACAGACAAGGGUAUGUGGAGUUGGCAGAUUCUAUUAGACAAAAGGAUGUUGGCUACCCUCGCUACAAGCAGAAUGGCUUGAUAUCGCAGCAUCACCACUUACCUCAUAUGUUCGAAACUACUCCAUAUGCAGAAAGGACUGAGCAGAAGAAAUAUCAUGACUUUUUAGAACGUCAGAUUGAAGACAGGGAUGCAUUGAACAAUCUGGGAAAGUUUGAGGAGAAAAGACAAGCUAAAGAGCACUUUAGAACAUUAGACAGCUUCUUCGGUAGACGUGGUGGUGGUAACAUUAAAGGACCAGAUCCAAGGAAAAUUAACCUAGACAGGGCUAUUCAUAACCCACAAAGCACUAGUAAAUAUUACAACAAGGUGAGACUGGAGGAUGAGAUCUCACCCCACGAUAUUCUCAACAAGUUCAAACCACGAAUAACAAUAAACAGCACGCAUAAGAAUCUUUACGAAUACCCCCAAGGCGAUCUCAAGAAUCAACUUUUAUACUAAGAGAAUUGAUGUAAGAAAUUACAUGGGACGUGUCUGAAGAAUAGCUACAUGGGAAGAGCACCUUACGCUGCUGAAUUCUGAAAUACCUAGACAUGCAGAAUAGUUAGGAUAUAGCAAUACCAGUUUCAUUGCACAUUAGUCGUCACCUUGUAGAUACAGCCAUUUUACAAACCUCUUCAUAAUUACAGAGCCAUUUUUACAUGUUUCUACGUCAUAUAAAUUAUAUUUGUGUAUAUAAAGGAAGUUUUUCUUAGAAAGAAACUAUUACAUAUAUAAUUUUUCGUCACACGGGAUACUCACAUUAAAUGGAAUUAAAGAAGUGGAUGGACACAAAGAAACAGAUCGGUGAAUUUUUUUUUUUAAAGUUGGACAUUUUGCUCAAUGGUUUAGUUUUUAAGAUUUUUGUUUCAAGUUUCUCUUUACUGUAUAUUUAAGCAUUAUAAAGGUAUUUCUGUGAUAUUUGUUGACUUAUGACUGUUAAAAAGUGAGCUAAUUUAAUUGGAAAGAAAUUUGUAUAAAUCCUGUUCACUGAAUACUCUAUAGAUGUUUUAUUGCCAUUUUUUUCCUAUGCUUCUAAUUUGGCAACUGUGGAAAUUCACCAUCAGAUCCAAAUUAUGGAAUUUUAUAAGACUUUUAGUGGUGGGAAUAUUUUUGAACAAUUCUCACCCUGCUAGAUUAUGGCUGUGUUUCACAGAAUAACUAUAUAUAUAAAUCCCAGCGUAAAGUCACUGUAACAGGCAGCUCAGACUUGCACCUUUUUACAUAUUGCUUAUCUUCUGUGGAAUUUAAUUCUAUAAAAAAAAAGUGAAAAAAAAUAGUCUUUACUUUUAUGGCCCUGUCUCUUUCAAAGAACAGAUCAUCCCACAGGUGAAUUAUUGUUAAGCUUCUUUAGGAACGGUCAUUAUUAUAACUUGUGUAGCAUUAUGUAAUGUUCCAUUUAAAAUCAUUACAUACUCAUGCAGCUACAUAUUAUGCCAUUUAGACCAGUAUUUUGUAUGUUGUAUGUUUAUAUUUUGUUCAUAUUAGUUUAAAAUACAGUAACACUAAUCACUCAAGGUUCCAGGAGGGCGAGCAUGACUCAAGUUAUCUGUGAUUUUGAGCAAACAAAAUACAAGCAAGACUGGCCAAGGAAAACAUGAAUUACUCAAACAAGCUUGGGAAGUUGGAGAGGUUCAUGCACGAACAAGCUGUGCUGUUCUUAACAUGAAGGUUUUCUUUUCAGAUAUGCUUUAAUUGUUAUUUAUGUUAUGAAGGGACCAAGAACUCAAGCAUUCUUUUAUAAAUAAAUGUCAGAUGCUUGAAAUGUUCUCAAAAUUGUUUGUUUUUUUCUACAGCAUUUGAUAGCCAGAUUUUACUUCAACAUGGAACAUUAAAGUCACUGAAUAAUCAAUAUUUUUGCAUCAUCAAAUCAAAAGAGGCAUUUUGCAGUGUAAUUUUGUUUUAAAUCAUGGUUAAAAUUUAAGUUCAGCAUAUAUUUUUGUAUGUGUGUAAUGUGCAAAUAACAUGAUUUUCUGCUUCAGAGCAAUUGUUAUAUAUGAAUAAGAAUAUUUGCUAUUCAAAGAAUCUAAAAACAUUUAAAAAUCAUCUUGAUGGUACCGUUAAUGUGACAACUCAAAAGUAUUGCCAUAUUUUCUCAGCUUUAAGGCAGAUUUCUUACAAGACAGGGUCCUAAAUUUGACCUUAAAAUUGAUAGGUAAAAAAAUUUAGUUUUGAAAAUGGAAUAUCACUAAAAACUUACUGAAGUAUUUGUAUAACUUUUUGAUCUGCAUGUAAGACAGAGCAACUUUCUCAGAGGAAUAUUAAGGGUCGAGCGCAUGCUGCCGUAACUCCUAUUAAAUAAAGACGGAGUUACGGCAGUAUUGCACUCAACCCUCGAAUUUUAAAUUCCCCUUCCUAACAGUGAAUAUGGUAAAGAUAUUAUAAUGUACAUGCUGACCUCUAGUAACCUUGCUGUAUUUUCCCAAUAGGUUCUUGCAGAGUUUUUACCUACGGAAAAAACAAGUGAAACCCAUGCACACACAUUUCUCUUUAUAUGUAAAUGCAUUGUUAUCUGUGAUUGUAUAAGCAAAGAAAGUCUGUGAUAUUUUUGCCUUUGGUUUGAUUAUUUGGGUCCAGGGAUGUUUUGUUUUAAUUGUAGAGUUUUAUUUAUACAGUAAAUUUGGAAACCAUUUUUAUUUGUUUUGUGAACCAAGAUUUUUAUUGUAUAUUUUUGUUGUUGACUCAUUUAUGUUAGAUUAAAUGUAUAUGAAGAAUGAGAGCGAAAGUGGUCUAAGUGAAAGUAGAUACAGAACAGAUAGACUUCUUUAGCUUUCAUCCCUCAAAAUUAUUAUAGUGCACAUUAAAUAGAUUAUUUUAACAUUUAAAUUUUAUAUGUUUAAGUUUUUAUUUACAUCUUUAUUGUAUUGUUUUGCUGUUUUGCCAUUGUGAAUACCCACUUCUGUUUUAAACACUAAUGCCAAUAACUGUCAAAUAAAUGAAUAUAUUCAGGCAUGGUCAAAUAUAACAAAACAUUUUACGUUGGAACUUUCUUCAUACCUUAUAUAAUCAUAAUUCUGUUCCAAUACUACAAUGACUUUGAAAAGAUUAUUCAAACAGAAAUCAUUCAAUUUAAACUUUAUUCAUUUUUUCUCAAUUUUCAGAUAUUUAAAAGGAUAAUACAAAAGGAUAAUUUUGUAUGAAGGAUUUAUUUAUUCUUCCAUUAUGUUAAAAACCAUUUUCAACUAUGUGUAUAUUUGCAAAACAGAGGUAUCAUUAUAUUUUAUUAAAUCUGUUCAUUAAAUGAAACAUAUUAAAAUCAUUUUUUAUUAAAACAGAAUUUCCGUCCAUUUUUUUUUUUUUUUCUACACUGUAUUGUGAUAUUUCUGUUAUGUAUAUUUUAACAGUUUCAUUGCCAGGGAAGAUCUGUGGAUAAUUUAUGUUUUCUGUCAGAUUGUGUGUCAUUAAUCAGCGAUGAAAAAAGAAUUUUGUCAUGCAAAAUUGUAUAAGGAAAGAAAUUACAGUGAUGUGUUUGUAAAAAUGCCAAAAAACUUCAUUGACUUAAACUUUCGUAACAUAAAAGGAAGUACAGUUUUUCGUUACACUUUGCAAUUUAUCAAAUUCCUUCAGCGUUUGUUAACUAAUGUUAGUUAUAAACAAAAGGUGCAUCUAAACGAAACCUGAAAAAUAAAUGUGAAUCAUCUUGUUAAAGGGGAUUGGAUAAAUGGUGGUUUAGAUAUUCAGGAAGUUGUAACAAAUUUGAAUGUUAUGAGGUCUUUAGUUCCAUUUGGUUCUGGGACAACUUUUGUAUGAAAACAACUGGAAUCAUUGUCUUACCCCUCCACUUGGUUUUGCUGCAUUUCUGUGCUUCUGUCAGGCACAAGUUCUUCUUCUAUUUAUUCUGAUGUAAAUGAGAUGUGGAACCAAAAUUGUUAGUCCUAUUUGAUGUCAUAUAACCUGUAUUAUGUUUGGGUGCGGUGAAACCUAGACCCCAAAGUAUUAGGUCAUUAAACUCUGUAAAUUUUAUUGAUUAUGUUUGAAGGAAAAAAAGUUAAUUAAACGAAGCAUCAAAACUGGGUUGGUGUUUUUAAUGCAGUAACUUUUCCACAGAUCAGUCUGAUGUUUUACUGAUAUUUUUUCUCUUUAGUUUAUAAGUAUAUUUUGCAUAAUUAAUGAGGAGAAAUACAUAUUUUAUGUGAUGAAGAAUUGUGGGUAAUAAAGCCCUUUGGUUAUACAAACCAUGACAUAUGAGUUUAUAAUUCAACAGACACCUGCUCAAGAUGACAUGUAUCAACAUUGUAGAAACAUCUGUUAUAUAUUCAAUUUCGUCAAUAAAUGUAUUUGUUCUUAGAAAAAUA